rnacentral:lncRNA from 1 species
AUCGUCAAAUUGUCUUUGGUAAUGCUUAUCGAUAAACGAAAGGUGUAGCCGCACCUUGAAAUGUGAAAUUAUUAAGUAGCAAAAACUGUUAUUUAAAUACAUUAAAACCUUGUAUAUCAACAAUAGAAAUAAGAAUUUGUUAAUUUUGGGAUCAUUUUUACGUAAAAACACCUAUUUUCAUGUAAAUGAUAUAAAGUACAUGGAAACUUUUUUCUGGUAUCACUGUCAAUAUUGUACUGUCAGUGUCAAGGUUACGUUUAAAAUUCUUGUUCGGUUAACCGUCAGGAAAGAAAAGUGUGAUAAGCUCUGAAAUAAAUAGCUUUAUCUUAACAUAUUAUCAUGGAGUCUUCAGGAACAAGAGCCCCACGCAAACGUGUGGCUAAUUUCACGGCGGACGAAAAAGCUUUGUUAGCACAAUUAGUUAAAAAGAGACCAAUCGUGGAAUCUUAAAUAACAGAUGGCAAGUCAGUCGCCAAGAAACAAGCAGCAUGGGAUAGUAUAACACAGGAGUUCAAUCAGGAAUCAAUCACCAACUUCCAGACUACGGGCUGCUUUGUGAAAGUUUAAGAAAACUCAAAAAGCGAUUUCGGCCCGACCUCCGACCGGCCGAGACCUCGACCACAGCAGCCGCGCUUGCGACCACUAGAUCAACGAGGAAGUCAAAUAAACUUUGUACUACAUAAUUGGCCUCUUGUUCAACAAUUAAAAAAGUAUUCCUCUUA